UACGUAGGGGGCGAGCGUUGUCCGAAGUUAUUGGGCGUAAAGCGCGUGUAGGCGGCUUAGCAAGUCGGGCGUGAAAGCCCUCGGCUCAACCGAGGAAGUGCACCCGAAACUGCUGAGCUUGAGUGCCGGAGAGGAUGGCGGAAUUCCCCAAGUAGAGGUGAAAUUCGUAGAUAUGGGGAGGAACACCGGUGGCGAAGGCGGCCAUCUGGACGGUAACUGACGCUGAGACGCGAAAGCGUGGGUAGCAAACAGG
rnacentral:rRNA from 1 species